rnacentral:tRNA from 1 species
GGAGAGAUGCCAGAGUGGACGAAUGGGCUCGCCUGCUAAGCGAGUGAGUGGGGAUGACCCGCUUCGUGGGUUCGAAUCCCACUCUCUCCG